GAAGGGUUUAGAGAUGUUACUUCUAAUAACAUAGGGAUUCUGGCUGAAUCGCUCUUCU
rnacentral:tRNA from 1 species